GACGAGGGAUCCUAGCGUUGUUCGGAAUUAUUGGGCGUAAAGCGGAUGUAGGUGGCUUUGUAAGUCAGGUGUGAAAGCCUAGGGCUCAACCCUAGAAGUGCAUUUGAUACUGCGAAGCUUGAGUGUGGGAGAGGAUAGUAGAAUUCCUGGUGUAGUGGUGAAAUACGUAGAUAUCAGGAGGAAUACCGGAGGCGAAGGCGGCUAUCUGGCCCAACACUGACACUGAGAUCCGAAAGCGUGGGGAUCAAACAGG
rnacentral:rRNA from 1 species